UACGUAGGGCGCAAGCGUUGUCCGGAAUUAUUGGGCGUAAAGAGCUCGUAGGCGGUUUGUCGCGUCGUUUGUGAAAACUCACAGCUCAACUGUGAGCCUGCAGGCGAUACGGGCAGACUUGAGUACUGCAGGGGAGACUGGAAUUCCUGGUGUAGCGGUGAAAUGCGCAGAUAUCAGGAGGAACACCAGUGGCGAAGGCGGCUUCCUGGACCAAUACUGACGCUGAGGUGCGAAAGCGUGGGGAGCAAACAGG
rnacentral:rRNA from 1 species